UUCUUGUAUGUCCCAUGUAGCCUAAGCUGCCCUCAAGCUCACUCUCUUUCUUAGCCUCUGAAAGUGCUGGGUCACAGGUGUGGGCUACCAAGUCCAGCUUGGAGUUCUGGAAUUUAAGAACCGGGAGUUGCUUUGACUGAAGCCCAUUGUUCUACUCAUUGUGAGGUGGGGGAGGCCAGAAGGAUAUCAUUACUCAAGCGGAGCUUCAUCAGAACACUAGUGAUUGGCAGAAGGCCAAGGAUCCUAGUGACCACUCGGCAGGACAAGAAUCGGAGGAAGGACAGUCAAGGCCAACCUUAACAAAGGGCUGGUCUGGUCCUUCUGCCACUACCUCUUGAGUGUGGGAUUACAGGCAUGUACAUCUAUGCUCUGCUCCUUUUGGCCUUUGGAUGUGUUGUUCUUUCUCUCCAAGGUCUCAUGUAGUCCAGGCCGUCCUUUAACUAUGUAGCUGAGGUAAGUCUUUUUUUUUUUUUUUAAGAUUUAUUUAUUUAUUAUAUGUAAGUACACUGUAGCUGUCCUCAGAUAUUCCAGAAGAGGGCAUUAGAUUUCGUUACGGAUGGUUGUGAGCCACCAUGUGGUUGUUGGGAUUUGAACUCGGGACCUUCGGGAGAGCAGUCGGCGCUCUUAACCACUGAGCCAUUUUGCCAGCUCCUGAGGUUAGUCUUGAUCUUCCCCUGCUCCUACUGCCGCAGCCUUGUAACUGCUGGUAUAUCAGGAGUGGGCCACUCUCCCUAGCUUACUCUCUUUUUCUAAAGGUUUGUUAUGUAUUCAUUUAUAAGACCCUAUUACCCUUUCCAGUAGCAUCUGGUUAUUGUCUUUAGUUCAAAUGUGAGGAUCUUCUGGUAAUUGGCAAAUUUAAAGAUGGUACCAUUUUGGCUACUAAUGAAUGAAAUGCCUCCAGAGGCAGCAAUAAAUUCGGAGAGACUCUUCUUUCAAAGAAAUGGUAAGUGCUUUGUUUGCUUGGAUAUUAACUUUUUGGGUGAUUACUCUUACUGGAUCUGUCCUCUAGGAAUACAAAACUUACUGUAGGCCAUCCAAUGUAAGGGCUGGCCAGAAGACUCUGUAGGUACCACCAGGCUUCAUGUCUGAGUUCAAUUCCUGGAACCCACAGUUGUCCUCUGAUCUCUACAUUUAUACCAUGGCACAUAGAUAAAUUGAUAAAUGCAAGCUCAGCAGUUAAGAGCACUGACUGCUCUUUCA